ACAUCGUCCUGUUCCAACCCCAGAAGAAUGUGGUCACACACAGACUUCACCUCAACAGGUUCAGCGUCAGCGGAACUGCAACCACCUAUUCUCAGUCUCCAUUCAACCCAAAUAAAGGAGCAGACAGCAUUGUGAAGUUUGACACUUUUGGAGACGGGAUGGGAAGAUACA
rnacentral:sRNA from 1 species